CAAUAGCGUAUAUUAAAGUUGUUGCAGUUAAAAAGCUCGUAGUUGGAUUUCUGGGAGGGUGCCGCCGUCCGGCGUGUCCGUGUGCAGUGGCGCCCUUCCAUCCUUCUGUUAGCGUCUCUUGGCAUUCAUUUGCUGGUGGCGGGCUCAGAUAUUUUACCUUGAGAAAAUUAGAGUGUUCAAAGCAGGCCUACGCUUGAAUACAUUAGCAUGGAAUAAUAGAAUAGGACUUCGGUUUCUAUUUUGUUGGUUUCUAGAACUGAGGUAAUGAUUAAUAGGGAUAGUUGGGGGCAUUAGUAUUUAAUUGUCAGAGGUGAAAUUCUUGGGUUUAUUAAAGACUAACAUCUGCGAAAGCAUUUGCCAAGGAUGUUUUCAUUAA
rnacentral:rRNA from 1 species